CGCUGGCGGCGUGCCUAACACAUGCAAGUCGAGCGGAGAUGAUGUGAGGAAGUUUUCGGAUGGAAUCACAUUAUUUAGCGGCGGACGGGUGAGUAACGCGUGAGCGACCAACCUUGCACAGGGGGGUAACGGACCGAAAGGUUCACUAAUACCGCAUGAGACCACGGUGUUGCAUGACACAGGGGUCAAAGGAGCAAUCCGGUGCAAGACGGGCUCGCGUCCGAUUAGGUAGUUGGUGGGGUAAUGGCCCACCAAGCCUAUGAUCGGUAGCCGACCUGAGAGGGUGAUCGGCCACAUUGGAACUGAGAUACGGUCCAAACUCCUACGGGAGGCAGCAGUGGGGAAUAUUGGGCAAUAGGGGGGAAACCCUGACCCAGCAACGCCGCGUGAAGGAAGAAGGUUUUCGGAUUGUAAACUUCUGUCCUUGGUGAAGAGAAGAAGACGGUAGCCAAGGAGGAAGCCCCGGCUAACUACGUGCCAGCAGCAGC
rnacentral:rRNA from 1 species